rnacentral:rRNA from 1 species
CACGGGGGGAGCAAGCGUUGUCCGGAAUCACUGGGCGUAAAGGGCGUCUAGGCGGUACGGUAAGUGGGAUGUGAAAGCCCCCGGCUCACCCGGGGAUCUGCAUUCCAAACUGCCGAACUUGAGUAUGGGAGAGGACAGGGGAAUUCCUGGUGUAGCGGUGAAAUGCGUAGAUAUCAGGAGGAACACCGGUGGCGAAAGCGCCUGUCUGGCCCAAUACUGACGCUGAAGCGCGAAAGCUAGGGGAGCAAACGGG